CCCUUAGAUGUUCGGGGCCGCACGCGCGCUACACUGAAGCAAUCAACGUGCCUGUCUCCUGGUCCGGAAGGAUCGGGCAACCCGCUGAACCUGCUUCGUGAUAGGGACUGGGGCUUGCAAUUGUUCCCCACGAACGAGGAAUUCCCAGUAGGCGCGAGUCAUGAGCUCGCGUCGAUUACGUCCCUGCCCUUUGUACACACCGCCCGUCGCACCUACCGAUUGAAUGGUCCGGUGAAGCCUCGGGAUUGUGGUUAGUUUCCUUCAUUGGAAGUUAGCCGCGAGAACUUGUCUAAACCUUAUCAUUUAGAGGAAGGUGAAGUCGUAACA
rnacentral:rRNA from 1 species